rnacentral:siRNA from 1 species
GGUAUUAUGUACAUCACUUUGCCU